AUGAACGCUAGCUACAGGCUUAACACAUGCAAGUCGAGGGGCAGCAUGGUCUUAGCUUGCUAAGACUGAUGGCGACCGGCGCACGGGUGAGUAACACGUAUCCAACCUGCCGUCUACUCUUGGACAGCCUUCUGAAAGGAAGAUUAAUACAAGAUGGCAUCAUGAGUCCGCAUGUUCACAUGAUUAAAGGUAUUCCGGUAGACGAUGGGGAUGCGUUCCAUUAGAUAGUAGGCGGGGUAACGGCCCACCUAGUCUUCGAUGGAUAGGGGUUCUGAGAGGAAGGUCCCCCACAUUGGAACUGAGACACGGUCCAAACUCCUACGGGAGGCAGCAGUGAGGAAUAUUGGUCAAUGGGCGAGAGCCUGAACCAGCCAAGUAGCGUGAAGGAUGACUGCCCUAUGGGUUGUAAACUUCUUUUAUAAAGGAAUAAAGUCGGGUAUGGAUACCCGUUUGCAUGUACUUUAUGAAUAAGGAUCGGCUAACUCCGUGCCAGCAGCCGCGGUAAUACGGAGGAUCCGAGCGUUAUCCGGAUUUAUUGGGUUUAAAGGGUGCGUAGGCGGUUUGAUAAGUUAGAGGUGAAAUCCCGGGGCUUAACUCCGGAACUGCCUCUAAUACUGUUAGACUAGAGAGUAGUUGCGGUAGGCGGAAUGUAUGGUGUAGCGGUGAAAUGCUUAGAUAUCACGAAGAACUCCGAUUGCGAAGGCAGCCUGCUAAGCUGCAACUGACAUUGAGGCUCGAAAGUGUGGGUAUCAAACAGGAUUAGAUACCCUGGUAGUCCACACGGUAAACGAUGAAUACUCGCUGUUUGCGAUAUACUGCAAGCGGCCAAGCGAAAGCGUUAAGUAUUCCACCUGGGGAGUACGCCGGCAACGGUGAAACUCAAAGGAAUUGACGGGGGCCCGCACAAGCGGAGGAACAUGUGGUUUAAUUCGAUGAUACGCGAGGAACCUUACCCGGGCUUAAAUUGCAGAUGAAUUACGGUGAAAGCCGUAAGCCGCAAGGCAUCUGUGAAGGUGCUGCAUGGUUGUCGUCAGCUCGUGCCGUGAGGUGUCGGCUUAAGUGCCAUAACGAGCGCAACCCUUGUUGUCAGUUACUAACAGGUUCCGCUGAGGACUCUGACAAGACUGCCAUCGUAAGAUGUGAGGAAGGUGGGGAUGACGUCAAAUCAGCACGGCCCUUACGUCCGGGGCUACACACGUGUUACAAUGGGGGGUACAGAGGGCCGCUACCACGCGAGUGGAUGCCAAUCCCCAAAACCUCUCUCAGUUCGGACUGGAGUCUGCAACCCGACUCCACGAAGCUGGAUUCGCUAGUAAUCGCGCAUCAGCCACGGCGCGGUGAAUACGUUCCCGGGCCUUGUACACACCGCCCGUCAAGCCAUGGGAGCCGGGGGUACCUGAAGUGCGUAACCGCGAGGAGCGCCCUAGGGUAAAACUGGUGACUGGGGCU
rnacentral:rRNA from 1 species